AACGAACGCUGGCGGCGUGGAUAAGACAUGCAAGUCGAACGGGAUCAUUGGAGUAGCAAUACAACAGUGGUCUAGCGGCGAACGGGUGCGUAACACGUGGAUACAUUCCGGGAAGCGGGGGAUAGCCCAGGGAAACUUGGAUUAAUACCGCAUGUGGUCGAAAGACUAAAGGCAGGGACCGCAAGGCCUGCCACUUCCCGAUUGGUCCGCGGCCUAUCAGCUAGUUGGCGGGGUAAAAGCCCACCAAGGCUACGACGGGUAGCUGGUCUUAGAGGACGACCAGCCACACUGGAACUGAGACACGGUCCAGACACCUACGGGUGGCAGCAGUCGAGAAUCUUUCACAAUGGGGGCAACCCUGAUGGAGCGACGCCGCGUGGAGGAUAAGGUCUUCGGAUUGUAAACUCCUGUCAUGUGUGAACAAGGCUGUCGUGUUAAUAGCAUGGCAGAUUGAUGGUAACACAAGAGGAAGAGACGGCUAACUCUGUGCCAGCAGCCGCGGUAA
rnacentral:rRNA from 1 species